UCCAGGCAGGAGGGACCUGGGGCAGAAGCAGAAGGUCUCCAAUGCAGCUUCUGGAAGGGACAGACAGAAUUCUGGGCCACCAAUCCAGACCACGGGCGGCAUAGCAGCCGCCGCAACCUGAGGCAGCAGCGGGAGAAAUGGAGCGUGUUUCCUGAAGCAAUGAAGGAGAGGGCUUUUCCAGGUGGAAGACGAAAGGUCCGACCCGGCAGCUUCUGCAUUCCUACUUGCCAGAGGUCCAGCCAGUGACCCAAAAUGGGAUAGCCUUCAAGAACCUGGCAGUGCAACCUGGACUUCUUUGGCCCCUGCUGUGGAGAUGGCGAUGUGGGAGCCUCCCACGAUCAUCGCAGUGAGCAUCUUCUGCUGCGUUUGUCUCCUGCACUUGUUGGCUUUCAUUUACGCCAUCUGCUUCCGCAGCCAGAGGCACCCCAGCCCAGCCUCCACCCAGAAGUCAUCAGAGGAGAAGGAGGUGGUCACGUUCCAUCCUUCCUCCUGUGGCCCCAGUGUUUACAGCCAGGUGGAAAUCAAGGGGAAUGAGAACCGUCUGAAGAAUGCACCCUGCUGGAGCAGCUUUUAAGGCUAUGCUUCAGCCAUGCGUGGGCACAGCCGGGGGAAAGGAGCACCUGGACACAUCAUCUAGCAUAUGGAACAUCUUUUCAAAGGCUUGCUGUCUCCAGGGGUCUACCAGCAAGAUUGCUCUUGUCCUGCCCUCUCCAGUGAUACUAGUACUCAGCUCAAGAUUGGCAGAAGACCAAGACUUACAAAAGAAUGCCCCUCUUUACACAACGUAUCUGUGAACUUACUGUCACAGGAUGGAACAACAAUCAUCGGCACAGGUGGCUUUAGAAGGGGAUUAGACAAGUUCAUGGAGGAUCGGUCUGUCAAUGACCAGUAACCACAGUAACUAAGUGGAACAUCCAUGUUUAGAAGCAGUGUAUCUGAAUGCCUGUGUUAGAGGCUCCAAAACAAAGGGAGGCUUUGGCAUCUGUGUGUCCGCUUGGGGUCUUCAGGAAUGUUUAGUCAGCCACUGUUACAAACUUUAGGGGGGGACAGUUUAGGUAUCUCCUUAGCAGAUUUCUCACAUCAGUUGGACUAAUCUAAUUCUUCUUCUCUGUGCAACAAUGGGAGUGCAACAGUAUCAAGACUGUAAGUGCUAGUAACACCUGCCUUACCCUUCCCAUCCUUCCUCCAAGGAAGUCAGGGUAGCACAACAACCUUGUGAGGUAGGUUGGGCUUAGACUGGCUAAGACACUCACUGAGUAUUUUACAGCAAAGUAGGUAUUUGAACCCAAGUAUCUCAGGUCUUAGUCCAGCAUUUGAACCACUUCGCAACAGUGGAUCAGCUCUCCAUUUACAUUUGCAGUAUUAAUUUUACUUCAUUAAAGAUAUAUUUACUGCAGAAAACCACAUUUGUGUCACCCAGCUACACAAACACCAUAAUAAUAUAUAAUAUACUCACUUGUUUCUUCACAUAUAAGAAAUAGUUCACAUAGUAUGUAUUUCUGGCUUGCAUUUAUACCUGAAUCUUGGAUGUAUCAUCCUAAAGUGCAUUACAGGUGAUAGACCAGCACAAAAGUAUACUGAAAUGCAUGGAUGUGUUAAUCUCUCUAGUAGCUGCCAGUGGUGCUUUUGUGUUUCUUAACGCUAGUGUGAAAUCCUCUAGUUAAAGAUAAAGGCAGCAAUUUUAGUUAGGGAUCUCAAGAUAGGAGAAAGGACAGAUUUUAUGUCACAUUUAGGUAAUUCUUCUUCUUCUUCAGUUUUUAGGCUUAAUGUUUUAAAUGAGUUAUAUGUUGUUAAAACUAGUAAUAGUUAAUUGAACCACUAUUUUGAAAACAAAGUGUAAUCAGAUUUAGAUUUUAUCAUGUGUUUAUGUAUUUUGUAUCUUAAACUUUCUAGGCUAAAUGUUUCUUUGGGCUAUUGAUGGAUUAUGACUAUGUAUGCAUAUAUGGCCUUUGGCUAAUAAACACUUAUUGAUUGACUAUC